UACGGAGGGUGCAAACGUUGCUCGGAAUCAUUGGGCGUAAAGCGCACGUAGGCGGUCCGUUAAGUCGGGAGUGAAAGCCCCAGGCUCAACUUGGGAAGUGCUUUCGAAACUGGCGGACUUGAAUACUGGAGAGGAUCGCGGAAUUCCCGGUAUAGAGGUGAAAUUCGUAGAUAUCGGGAGGAACACCAGCGGCGAAGGCGGCGAUCUGGACAGAUAUUGACGCUGAGGUGCGAAAGCGUGGGGAGCAAACAGG
rnacentral:rRNA from 1 species